GGCCUGCGGGGGAUACUGUCCGGCUAGGGGGCGGGAGGGGCCGUCGGUAUUCUUGGGGUAGGGGUGAAAUCCUAUAAUCCCAGGAGGACCACCAGUGGCGAAGGCUGUCGGCUAGAACGCGCCCGACGGUGAGGGAUGAAAGCUGGGGGAGCGAACCGGAUUAGAUACCCGGGUAGUCCCAGCUGUAAACGAUGCAGGCUAGGUGUUAGGGCGGCUACGUGCCGCUCUAGUGCCGCAGGGAAGCUGUUAAGCCUGCCGCCUGGGGAGUACGGCCGCAAGGCUGAAACUUAAAGGAAUUGGCGGGGGAGCACCACAAGGGGUGAAGCUUGCGGUUUAAUUGGAGUCAACGCCGGAAAUCUCACCGGGGGCGACAGCAGGAUGAAAGCCAGAUUAAAGGUCUUGCCAGACGAGCUGAGAGGAGGUGCAUGGCCGUCGCCAGUUCGUGCCGUGAGGUGUCCUGUUAAGUCAGGCAACGAUCGAGACCCGCAUCCCCCGUUGCUACCAGCCUUGAGUUGGGCACACUGGGGAGACCGCCGCCGAUGAGGCGGAGGAAGGAGCGGGCCACGGCAGGUCAGUAUGCCCCGAAUCUCCCGGGCCACACGCGAGCUGCAAUGGCAGGUACAAUGGGUUCCGAACUCGAAAGGGGAAGGAAAUCUCU
rnacentral:rRNA from 1 species